GGGGAAAUAGCUCAUUGGUAGAGCGCAUGCUUAGCAUGCAUGAGGUCCUGAGUUCAAUCCCCAGUACCUCCA
rnacentral:tRNA from 1 species